UAAUACGGGGGGAGCAAGCGUUGUUCGGAUUUACUGGGCGUAAAGGGCGCGUAGGCGGCCAGCGCAAGUCAGUUGUGAAAUCUCCGGGCUUAACUCGGAAAGGUCAACUGAUACUGCGCGGCUAGAGUGCAGAAGGGGCAACUGGAAUUCUCGGUGUAGCGGUGAAAUGCGUAGAUAUCGAGAGGAACACCUGCGGCGAAGGCGGGUUGCUGGGCUGACACUGACGCUGAGGCGCGAAAGCCAGGGGAGCGAACGGGAUUAGAUACCCCGGUAGUCCUGGCCUUAAACGAUGGAUGCUUGGUGUCUGGAGUUCUAUAGUCUCCGGGUGCCGUAGCUAACGCGUUAAGCAUCCCGCCUGGGGAGUACGGUCGCAAGACU
rnacentral:rRNA from 1 species